rnacentral:rRNA from 1 species
CGUAGGUGGCAAGCGUUGUCCGGAUUUAUUGGGUUUAGAGGGUGCGUAGGCGGUCUUGUAAGUCAGUGGUGAAAUACGGCAGCUUAACUGUCGAGGUGCCAUUGAUACUGCAGGACUUGAGUACAGACGAGGUAGGCGGAAUUGACGGUGUAGCGGUGAAAUGCUUAGAUAUCGUCAAGAACACCGAUAGCGAAGGCAGCUUACUAGACUGUAACUGACGCUGAUGCACGAAAGUGUGGGGAUCAAACAGGAUUAGAUACCCUGGUAGUCCACACUGUAAACGAUGAUUACUCGAUGUUGGCGAUACACAGUCAGCGUCUUAGCGAAAGCGAUAAGUAAUCCACCUGGGGAGUACGCCGGCAACGGUG